rnacentral:rRNA from 1 species
UAACGCGAAGAACCUUACCUAAACUUGACAUACCUUGAAUUACCUUGUAAUGAGGGAAGCUCGCAAGAGCAAGGAUACAGGUGGUGCAUGGUUGUCGUCAGCUCGUGUCGUGAGAUGUUGGGUUAAGUCCCGCAACGAGCGCAACCCUUGUUGUUAAUUGCUAACAGGUUAAGCUGAGCACUUUAGCGAGACAGCCUAGGUUAACUAGGAGGAAGGUGGGGAUGACGUCAAAUCAUCAUGCCCCUUACGUUUAGGGCUACACACGUGCUACAAUGGUGAGAACAGAGAGAAGCAAGCUAGUGAUAGUGAGCAAAACUUAUAAAACUCAUCUCAGUUCGGAUUGCAGGCUGAAACUCGCCUGUAUGAAGAUGGAGUUGCUAGUAAUCGCGAAUCAGAAUGUC